UGCGUAGGUGGUUGUGUAAGUUAUGUGUGAAAUCCCUGGGCUCAACCUGGGCAGGUCAUAUAAUACUGCAUGACUCGAGUGUGGGAGAGGGUAGUGGAAUUUCCGGUGUAGCGGUGAAAUGCGUAGAGAUCGGAAGGAACACCAGUGGCGAAGGCGGCUACCUGGCCUAACACUGACACUGAGGCACGAAAGCGUGGGGAGCAAACAGGAUUAGAUACCCUGGUAGUCCACGCUGUAAACGAUGUCAACUAGCUGUUGGUUAUAUAAAAAUAAUUAGUGGCGCAGCAAACGCGAUAAGUUGACCGCCUGGGGAGUACGGUCGCAAGAUUAAA
rnacentral:rRNA from 1 species